rnacentral:rRNA from 1 species
AACGAACGCUGGCGGCAUGCCUAACACGUGCAAGUCGAACGAGACCUUCGUGUCUAGUGGCGCACGGGUGCGUAACGCGUGGGAACCUGCCCUUAGGUUCGGAAUAACUCCCCGACAGGGGUGCUAAUACCGGAUAAUUUCUUCGGACCAAAGAUUUAUCGACUUUGGAUGGGCCCGCGUUGGUUUAGCCUGUUGGUAGUGUAAAAGCCUACCAAGGCGUCGAUCCAUAGCUGGUCAGAGAGGAUGAUCAGCCACACUGGGACUGAGACACGGCCGAGACUCCUACGGGAGGCAGCAGUGGGGAAUAUUGGACAAUGGGGGAAAGCCUGAUGCAGCUAUGCCGCGUGAGUGAUGAAGGCCUUAGGGUUGUAAAGCUCUUUUACCCGGGAUGAUAAUGACAGUACCGGGAGAAUAAGCUCCGGCUAACUCCGUG